rnacentral:tRNA from 1 species
GCCUGGGUGGCUCAGUCAGUUGAGCGUCUGACUUCGGCUCAGGUCAUGAUCUCGCAGUUCGUGAGUUCAAGCCCCACGUCAGGCU